ensembl:lncRNA
GCACCAUCUAUACUAAAGCAUAAAGGUAAAAUGCCCCCAGUGGAAGAAGACGAGAUUGAGUCAAUUGUGUUAAAGAAGAUUUCAGUUGAGAAACACUUGCGUGUGAAAGAAAGUGCAAGUCCUAAGGAGACAGUUUUGGACAUUCAGGCAGGAGAGCCACUUGAGCUAAAAAUCUUGCCAAAACCAGUUUAUAGAAUACUGAAGCCAGAGGGAGAUGAGCAGGAGAAUCUUAAGGAGGAUCUUAAAUAUUUUAUGAUGGCUCCUGAAGGAUGGGAGCCAGAAAUGACACGUAUAAAUUCAAGAAAGACUACUACUCUUACAUAUGAUAAAAGAGAAACUGCAAUAGAUCAAGUCACUUAUGCAGAGGAUAAACCACAAGCACCUAAUGAGGAAAUGAAAUUGAUUUAUUUAGCAUCUGAACAUAUGGAAAGAGAUUACAGUGAAGAAAAGGGGGGUAAAACUAAGUUAGUCAUUCAGAAGGAAGAUGCUGUUGAGAGACUGCUGGACAAGACUAGUGUUCCUCACAAAGAAAAGAUUCCUCUGCAUGAAAAAGAAGAGGCAGCUGAGUCAAUUCCUGUACCUAAAUAUAGCUCCAGAGAGCCUAAUAGACACAGAGACCAGAAAACAGUCCUAAGAAAAGAGAGAAAAUCAAAAAUCAGAUUGCAACCUGAAGAAUUUCCCAUUAAGGGUAAAGCUUCAUUUGUAAAGGAUAUCACAGAGACAGGAAUAGCUGAAACACCUCCGAUUAAAAGUGAAGAAGAAAGAGGAGAUUUUACUCUAGAGAAAUCUGAAGAAGUUCCUCUUGGAGAAUCCGUGAAGAAGUAUGACAUAGAAAAGAAAAUUCACCAGACAGAGAAAUCUUGUACCACAGUAGCUGAUAUCCCUAUAGAAAAGAUUCUUAGUAAAGAAGUAAAGAAAAUGGAAAUUAUUCAAAACAAUGAGAAAGAUGAGAAUCUGGACCUUACAUCAGAAAAACUAGAUUCCUUAGAAUUGCCUGAGGAGACUGAACCAAUAUUGAAAAAUGAUGUUGACUUGGAACAAACCACUGAAGAUGAGGAGCUUCCCAGAAAAAGAGCUUGCCAAAUCUUUAAGCAGUCCAUUAAGCCACAAGUAGUGGAAAUGAAAGCAGGAGGAAAAUAUUCUACAGAGGAAGGAGAACCCACUGAAGCUCAUUAUGGGGAACGUUCAGGACCAUUGUUGAUUGAGAAUGUACUCUUCAAUGAUAAUAAAACAGGCAAAAGGAUUGCAUCAGAGAAGAAAGACAAAACUACUUUCAGCACCCUCUUAAAAAAAGACAAAAUUAGACAAUCAACCCCCCAUGAAAAGCUAUCUGGGGAAAAAGAACUUGAUACUGUGAUUACAAGAGAAGGAGCAGGAAGCAAAGCUUCCUUAGGAGAAUAUGAAAAGGGAGUCCCCAAUGAAAUAGCUGAUGGAUCUAAGUCAGUAAAGAAAGUUCCUAUUCAGCCAUCAAGGAACCAUGAUAAAAAGCAACCUCAAAAAGUUCAGUUGGCUCCCCAAACCACUCAGGAUGAAAGGGGAGAACCUCCAGCUCUCAAAAAAGUGAGCAAAGUUAAAACUGAAGAAAAUAAAUCUCCUUUGACUGUGGAAGAAGUGAAGCUUUCUGGAAGAGAACUUCCAGUGACAGAAGGCAUAUCAGAUGAAAAAUCAGCAGUUAAGCAUGGCAUUGGCAAAAGUAGAUCUGUCCUCAAGAGAAAAGAGAAGGAAAAGCUUUCAGAUAAAACACCAUCAAGCAAAGGAAUCCCUGCAAAUGGAGAAGUUCCUUGCUCCUCAAGCAUAGGUAAGAUAAUUACUCCCAAGAAAGUAGAAGACCCAUUUAUAGGAGAGAAAGAAUCC